AUGGAGCCGCCGCGCCGCACCAAGCGCCCCGCCGGGGACGGCGACGACGACUUGGAGGCCGCCGCCGAAGCACGAGGCUACUACGGCGCCGCGGCCUACGACUUCCUCGACGAUGACGAGCUGGAUGGCUUCUCCUCGCACGGCACAGGCGGCGACAUGGGGUUUAUGGACGAGAACGGCAGCUUCGUGGAGCGCGUGGUGCGGGGCGGCACCAAGGAGGAGGCCUGGCUGGGCGCCGCGCACGUCGACGGCGAGUGCCCCGGCCCUGCGGCCACGAAGCGCGCGAGGAAGGCCCUCGAGAGGCAGGACGAGGACGAGCGGAUCCUCGAGGGCGUCGUCGGCUCCCGCGCCGUCUUCGACAUCAAGAAGCGGAUCGCGGGUCUCCUCCAGCCCGGCGAGACGGUCCCGCGCGCGCUGCGGAGGCUCAAGGGAGACAAACGUGGCGGGGGGAAGGGGAUGGACGAGGGGGCGCGGUGCGCGUUCGAGGAGCUGAUGGACGCCUCCGCGGAGCUCGUGCGACGCGGCGACCUCGACGCGUACACGGACGACCGCGAGGCCUUCGAGCGCGGCGCCUGGGACUACGAGUACGCCCGCCGCCAACGCUGCCUGGGGCGUGCCGCUCCACCAGCCGCCGCCGUUCUCGAGGCUCAAGAAGACGACGAAGCUGGCCCACAGACCGCCGCCGCGGCCCGUGACUACUACGUGGACAUGUUCGGAGACGGCGCAGUCGAUGUCGGUGCCGGCGCGAAAACGGCGGUCGUUCCAUCCAGUGGACACGCAGCUAAUCCUGACCCGCCUGCAGCGCAGCCUGGUGCUUCGGGUGCGACGACGGAGGAGGAAGCCGGCGGCGUCGCAGGCUGGGACUACGUGUACGAUCCGUCGUCGGGAUACUACUACAGCGGCAGCACGGGGCACUACUACGACGCCGCGUCCGGGUGCUACUGGUCCGUGUAA
rnacentral:rRNA from 1 species